CCUACGGGAGGCAGCAGUAGGGAAUAUUGCUCAAUGGGGGAAACCCUGAAGCAGCAACGCCGCGUGGAGGAUGAAGGUUUUCGGAUUGUAAACUCCUUUUGUUAGAGAAGAUAAUGACGGUAUCUAACGAAUAAGCACCGGCUAACUCCGUGCCAGCAGCCGCGGUAAUACGGAGGGUGCAAGCGUUACUCGGAAUCACUGGGCGUAAAGAGCGCGUAGGCGGGAUAGCAAGUCAGAUGUGAAAUCCUAGGGCUUAACCAUAGAACUGCAUUUGAAACUGUUAUUCUAGAGUAUGGGAGAGGUAAGUGGAAUUCUUGGUGUAGGGGUAAAAUCCGUAGAGAUCAAGAGGAAUACUCAUUGCGAAGGCGACCUGCUAGAACAUAACUGACGCUGAUGCGCGAAAGCGUGGGGAGCAAACAGGAUUAGAUACCCGGGUAGUC
rnacentral:rRNA from 1 species